rnacentral:rRNA from 1 species
CCUACGGGUGGCUGCAGUGAGGAAUAUUGGUCAAUGGCCGAAAGGCUGAACCAGCCAUGCCGCGUGAAGGUCAAUGCCCUAUGGGCGUUAAACUUCUUUUGUGCGGGGGCAAUAAUGGUCACGUGUGGCCAGACGAGAGUACCGUACGAAUAAGCAUCGGCUAACUACGUGCCAGCAGCCGCGGUAAUACGUAGGUGGAAAGAGUUAUCCGGUUUUACUGGGGGUAAAGGGCGUGUAGGCGGGAAAGCAAGUCAGAUGUGAAAACCAUGGGCCCAACCUGUGGACUGCAUUUGAAACUGUUUUUCGUGAGUAGUGGAGAGGCAGACGGAAUGCCUGGUGUAGCGGUGAAAUGCGUAGAUAUUAGGAGGAACCCCAGUGGCGAAGGCGGUCUGCUGGACAGCAACUGACGCUGAGGCGCGAAAGCGUGGGGAGCAAACAGGAUUAGAUACCCUAGUAGUC